GGGCCAGGCCCUUCAGAGUCAGCCCUAUCCAUACUUAACUUAGUGAAUUUCGCAUGUGAUCAUAAGGAAAAGAAUUCUUGGAUAGGAUUGUAUCUAGGUUGCACAUAACUAAACCCACUAGACGGAAUAGACGGAGCUGAUUUGAUGGCCUGUUGCAUAGUCAACUCCUUCCUUUAUACGUAAGUUAGUACUUACUAUAAGGCUCGAAUUCAUCAUUUGUGAUAGCUGCUUCGGCCGCGGUCACUGUCCUCCCCCAUUUUGCGACGUUCGGAUGGAAAAAUGGCGCUGCGAAGAUGGAAGAGAUGCCUUGUACAGCCUAGUACCCAUACAAGUUGAACUGCCUUGCUAACCAUGUUCAUGGAACUUGAAUUAAACACCCACAAACAAGAAGGUUGCUUCUAUGUCAUUAUCAUUAAUCAACUGAUGAAUGUCUGACCCGUGUGUCUAUAUGCCAUAUUCAUAACGCCAUGUCCGCACCAAAACCCAGUGUAUGUACCCAUGUAAAACGCCUAUUAACCAGCAAUAACCUUCCUUCUACAGCACAUCAAAUGAGGCGUGUAUCCACAAUUAAAGAACCCAUUGUUCAUAAGGCUGUCCUCUCAUCUUCCCCGUUCGAUCGUCAUAUAGUUUAGGCUCGAAAUCGGAGACUUCGCCGUAUUUGCGUACCAGGUACCGCCAGUAACACGCUUCGGCCGCCGGGGUGAGGUACCUAUCGCGGAAAGUAGCGACGGAGUUG
rnacentral:lncRNA from 1 species